CACCACUCAAGCCUGGCUUGGUAUUGGGCGCCGCGGACACCCCGCGCGCCUUAAUGUCUUCGGCCGAGUCCGCCCGUCUCUAAGCGUUGUGGCAAUCAGUCCGCUUGCGAGAUGGGAUGGCGCCGCGCCGUUAAACCUCUUCAAUCAA
rnacentral:misc_RNA from 1 species